AUUCCUACGGGAGGCAGCAGUGGGGAAUAUUCCGCAAUGGGCGAAAGCCUGACGGAGCAACGCCGCGUGGGUGAAGAAGGCCUUCGGGUUGUAAAUCCCUGUCAUAUGGGAAGAAGAAAGUGACGGUACCAUAUGAGAAAGCCACGGCUAACUACGUGCCAGCAGCCGCGGUAAUACGUAGGUGGCGAGCGUUGUCCGGAAUUACUGGGCGUAAAGGGCGCGUAGGCGGAUGGUUAAGUCAGAUGUGAAAAAUGCAGGCUCAACCUGGAUUGUGCAUCUGAUACUGGUCAUCUUGAGUGCAGGAGAGGGCAGUGGAAUUCCUAGUGUAGCGGUGAAAUGCGUAGAGAUUAGGAGGAACACCAGUGGCGAAGGCGGCUGCCUGGACUGUAACUGACGCUGAGGCGCGAAAGCGUGGGGAGCGAACAGGAUUAGAUACCCUGGUAGUCCACGCCGUAAACGAUGGGUACUAGGUGUAGGGGGUAUCGACCCCUUCUGUGCCGGAGUUAACACAAUAAGUACCCCGCCUGGGGAGUACGACCGCAAGGUUGAAACUCAAAUGAAUUGACAAU
rnacentral:rRNA from 1 species